CGAGUGAAGCGGCAAAAGCUCAAAUUUGAAAUCUGGCUCUUUCAGAGUCCGAGUUGUAAUUUGAAGAAGGUAUCUUUGGGUCUGGCUCUUGUCUAUGUUUCUUGGAACAGAACGUCACAGAGGGUGAGAAUCCCGUGCGAUGAGAUGAUCCAGGCCUAUGUAAAGUUCCUUCGAAGAGUCGAGUUGUUUGGGAAUGCAGCUCUAAGUGGGUGGUAAAUUCCAUCUAAAGCUAAAUAUUGGCGAGAGACCGAUAGCGAACAAGUACAGUGAUGGAAAGAUGAAAAGAACUUUGAAAAGAGAGUGAAAAAGUACGUGAAAUUGUUGAAAGGGAAGGGCUUGAGAUCAGACUUGGUAUUUUGUAUGUUACUUCUUCGGGGGUGGCCUCUACAGUUUAUCGGGCCAGCAUCAGUUUGGGCGGUAGGAGAAUUGCGUUGGAAUGUGGCACGGCUUCGGUUGUGUGUUAUAGCCUUCGUCGAUACUGCCAGCCUAGACUGAGGACUGCGGUUUAUACCUAGGAUGUUGGCAUAAUGAUCUUAAGUCGCCCGUCUUGAAACACGGACCAAGGAGUCUAACGUCUAUGCGAGUGUUUGGGUGUAAAACCCGUACGCGUAAUGAAAGUGAACGUAGGUGGGGGCCCGUAUGGGUGCACCAUCGACCGAUCCUGAUGUCUUCGGAUGGAUUUGAGUAAGAGCAUAGCUGUUGGGACCCGAAAGAUGGUGAACUAUGCCUGAAUAGGGUGAAGCCAGAGGAAAC
rnacentral:rRNA from 1 species